GACAGCUCCCGGACCGGGACCCCGGGCGCCUGCGGACCGUUCGGGACUUUUCGCGGCUGUCGCUCCGUAACCACGCCAUAAUGACAGAGGCGAACGCGGCGACGCCGAGAGCGAAAGACCGGGCGACGCGUACGGUACCGCGCGCACAAGAACGUUUGCGGCAAAGUGCGAAGACGGUUUUAUUGGAAGAAAACAAAAUACACACAUAUACGUACAACCGCACGUCCAACCGCCCGACCGGAUCCUGCGUAUUAAUGAUGCGCACGUCGACCGCAGGGGUACCUCGCGUGGCCGGUAACGGGUGUGACGAUCCCGCGGACCCCAGUCAUUCGCGCGGACGGGUAGACUGAACGAUCGCCACGAACGAUCGUUCGUGGCGACUUGAACGUCGUUCCAGGUGAGUAGGUACCGAACAAGACCGAGGUACCGAAGCCCGUCCGCGCCAUCAGCCACUAGUCAUCAGGUGGCGGACCGAUCCCUUUGUCGGGCGGAAGGGAUGUGCGGUGUGGUCGUCGCGCCGGGACCGCCGAGUCCCGGCGCGCAGUAAAAAGAAUAGCAAAAUAAGAACAAAACGAAAACCGUUACGCACCGACGGACCGUGUUACACAAGACGGAACAGAUCGGUGAACGAGCACAAGUCGAUUUUUCGAGGCCAACGAGCCGAAAGUCAUAAUAACAUUAUGUUAUAGUGUCGAGAGCAUAAGACUGAAAAUGUAAAAGAAAAUAACGAAAAGAACCGAAGAACGUUAUUCCGAAAAACGGACGACCGCCGCUGCAGCUCCUUCCCAGGUCCAUCGCGUACGAUGGAAUACCGAAGAUCCAAACAUCAGUACGCGAACCGCAUGGAGCGCCCCACGUUCAAGGGCGACGGGUGUGACAAUCCCGCGGACUCCAGUCGCGUGCGGACGCGCAUAGCCUGAAGGGACGCCAUCGAUCGUCUCAGGUCAGUAGGUACGACCGCUAGGGCCGAGGACGCGUAAAUCCCCCUCUUCCCUCUCUCCGAAUAGGUUUCACACAUUUUAAAAUUUUUUUUUUCUAGCUGUUUAAUUAUAUUAUUAAACACGCGGUUUUCUCAAUGACAUUUUUAUUCGCACUUUUUCUUGAACGCAUUGGUUAGACAACGGUGCAUUAGAUACUUCAAUGGUUUUGUACUACCUGACGUGUUCAAAAUUGUCCAGGACUGUUUGAAUUGCGCGCUAACACAGCGUCCAAGUGCAGCAGGAUCGAUGUCACUGUAUUCUGUGACUUCUCCUGGGCACAUUUGUCUUUAUAGAUUGCCUAUAAUCUUUUUUUGUUUCGAUAUCAUCGGCGUUUUUGCGCAAUAUUGUUUUCGUGUGUGGCGAUUUGUUGUAACGGAUCCGAUGAAAAGAGCUUUUUGAGGCGAGCGUGGGUUCUUUCCGUUUCGUCGACAGAGGAACGCAACGACAAUGAGUCAUGGUAUUAUGUCGAAUGGCUUGUUAUCGAAUUGCAAACGAACGCAUAUAGACCUAACCUAACAUCUAUAGAGAAUGUGAAAAGAAACGCCGAGAAACGAAACGGAAUCCAAAUUCGGGCGCGCCGGGAACUUUUUGGUACGGUAAAUGACUAUUAAAGAAACGUCGACAUUUCAUCAUAAUAAUAAUCGUUACCCAUCAUUUAUGUGGAACCGGCAGUACGUAAGAAAAAUCUUCUCCAACCUUGUCGAGCUUGUCAAGUCGCUCUUUAGGGUCCGUUAGAAUAACGGCCAAUUGCGAAAAACGUGUUUUACAAAACCAUCGUCACGCCAAAACAAAGAAAGUUGUAGCAAUCUGCAAAUAUAGAUGUCCCCACGAGAAGUCACAAAAGCCAGUGAUAACUAUCCUACUGUUCUCGAACGCUCCGUUGGCGCGCAAUUUAAACAGUUCUGGACCUUUUUGAACAAGCCCCGUGUAUUCAAUUGAAAAUCUAUUGUUCUGACGCUAAUCAAUAACAUUUUCAAUAGUUAUCGUCUCAAACUUUCCUUUUUCUAUUUUUUUUUUUCAUUUUUCUUUUUUUUAUUUAUGACUUUCCGAAAUAAACGCUAAAAGUCCUUCGUGCCCUGGUAUAUUCACUAAGAUCGUGAUGAACAAGCCCGUCCGCACAAACCAACCUCCAUGCACAUACGAGUGAGGUUGGCGCGCCCCGCAUUCCAUUCAACGGGGCUAAUUCGUUUGUUGUCAAACGAGGUUAUUAGAUUAAGGGUGUACAGUAGUGAUGAAGUCCUAUGCACAAGCUCUAAUGGUAUUCCGGCGUCUAUCGAGCGUCGGUCCUUUAAACGCGUCAAGUCAAAAUCAUUAUGCUGAAUUGUGUUAUAAACAGUUAAUCUCGUGGAAAAAGAAAAAAAUUAAUUUUAUCACGAACGGUUUAUUGCGUAUACGUAUUAAAAGUAUGGACGUGCGGUUUAUCAAAAAAAAAAAAAAAAAAAAAAAAUAAAUAAUGAAAAAAUAACCAUAAUAACAAACCGAUUGCUGAUCGAGUACAAAAGUAGAACGGCAGUAGUGGCGCUGCUGUACGCAGUCGGCGAAAUAAAAAACACCUUAGGGGCCGGCCGAACUCCGCCGACGCAAGUCCGCGGUCACGGCCGCCUCUAAAUGCGUACGUUAAAUUUUACACGUAUACGACCGAGUGGCCGCGUGUACAGUUUGCGCCACUGCAGUUUUAGACAAGCGUAAAAUUAAGUUCAUUCAAAUAUUAAAUAAAAAUAAUCAUUUAAACUUUAACAUAACUUUUAAUUAACUAUUAAUGUCAACCGCUUUAUAAUAAAUAUAAGUUUUGUUAUUACGCGCGGAGGGUUGUGGAGAAAAACGAACGAGCGUAUGGCCGGAUUACGGGUGUUAUGGGGGCCCGGGGGCUAGAGACCGAAAUUCAUCGGCGAAAGAUUCGCAUAAAAUGAUCUUCUAAUAUUCGUGUAGCGAAAGACCGAUAAGAAGAAGGUCGUCAACAAAAGCGUACGUUGCGUGGCCCCUUUCAACUUGCGGCCCGGGACUGUAAUGCCCCUUAGCCUCCCCACCCCCAUCGAUCCAGCUCUCUGGAUGAGCGAAUGGAAUCGGGAUAAAAAAAAAAAAUAUCUAUAACUGCGAAAAAAAGAUCACGAUGACGGUGUAUAAUAGUCCAAGUGGACACGUAAAUCGGUGUGCACAGGUUCGGAAAUAUUGACUGCUGUCGUUUUUUUCCCCCGCAGCCCUUCGUUUAUAUAUUAUAUGUGUAUUUUAUUAAUAAAAAAAAUUAAUUAGUCGGAAAGCGUACGACAGUAUAUGAAACAGUGGCGCGACUAUAGAGACGGCGAGACAAAAGACCUCAGGGGCGGCCCGAACUCCGCUGACGCAAGUCCGCGGUCACGGCCGCCUCUAAAUGCGCACGUUAAAUUUUACACGUAUACGACCGAGUGGCCGCGUGUACAGUUUGCGCCACUGUUUAAGGCACGUAAAAUUGAGUUUAUCGGAAUCUCUUUUUAAAUCAUAUGUUAUAGGUAUAUUAUAAUAAACGCACGAGAAUAAUGAUUGUUAAAUUGACGCGAUUAAUUUUAAAAAGAAAUACAUUUCAAAUCAGUCGACCAGGAGGUGUUCGUAUCGAUAAUUUUAUUAUUAUACGGUACGCAUAUUCACCAUUUUUAUCAAUAAAAAAAAAAAAAUCAAUUAAUUACAAAGAGCACGAGAGUAGACGGCAGUGGCGCUACUGUGGAGUCGGCGAAACAAAAGACCUCGGGGGCGGCCCGAACUCCGCCGACGCAAGUCCGUGGUCACGGCCGCCUCUAAAUGCGCACGUUAUGUUUACACGUUCGGCCGAGUAACCGUUUGCGUGGUUUGCGCCACUGUUUGAGGCGCGUAAAAUCGAGUCUACUCGAAUCUCUUUCUUAAAUCGCAUUCAAUAAUAAACGUUAUAAUAAAGAACUUUUCAAAAUUCCGUCGCUAAUCCAUUCCAUAGCGUAUUUUAUUUAAGGAAAAAAAAAUAACAACCAACCAAUACAACUUAAUAAUAUAAUCCAAACGAUAUGAAUGAUAUGAAUGAUUUGUAGUUUUCAACGAUUAUCGAUUCAUUUUAGUCCGCCACACAUUAUAUUUACAUUUACAUCACGUUAAUUUAUCUCUAUAUUAUUGUUAUUAUUAUCUCUAUUAUUAUUGUUAUUAUUAUUAUUAUAUACUCGUUAUUGGCUUUUAUUGUCUAGUUUAUUGGUGUUCGAUUUAAUAAUAAUAUAAAAAAAAUUUUUUUAUCGUGAUAACGUAAUUAUUCGUUUAAUAUUAAUCAUUUAAAGUUAUAAAUAGAUUUUAAGAAACCAAAAAAAAUUUACUUUAUUCUCUAUUCGAUAAAUAUUUAAUAAGUGUGUUGUUGUUUUUAAUGUUUACAAUUUUAUCAUUAUUUAUCUACUAGGUUAUUUUAGUUUUGUUUAAGUUCUCAUAUGCUAAAUACUGUGAUUACAAAUGGAAAACGCUUAUUUAUUCAUUCACCCCGCAACAUAGUUUUCCUUUAAUUUUAAUUUAAUUUAAUUUAAUUUAAAAAAUAUAUAUAAUUAAUACCGAAUAACCUAAUUGUUAAAAAUUCUAAUAUUAAAAAUAAUUUAAUUCAUUCGCAUUGAUCUCGCGAGUCUCGUAUAUUGUACAAUAACAACCUCGUUACGAAAUACGGGACCCGCCCCACAGGCGGUGUUUCGGUCGGCCGCCACUGUUAGAGGUCGUACCGGUUCACCUGGUGAGUGGCGACACCAUGGGUUGCCGAGCCCAGCGAGCGCCCGGUCCCGAAACACGUCACUAACAUCGGCGCAUGUAUUCCGGGCCGGGGUAAGUCUCGGUAAUGCGGGGCGCGGCCCGUCCCGUUGACGGGACCGCCGAUAGCCCCGCAGGUCGUCCGCACUCGGGAGUCGCGACGCUUCGGCCUCGCGAACCCGGCGGACGGCCCGUCGCCGUUGUCGCCGAGCGGCCGCGGUCGCGUACAUCAACGGCCCGGCGAUAACCGGCUAUAAUAAGACCGGAAAACCCGGCGACCGCGCGGUUUUCCGGCGCGGCUCCGAUGACGCGGACGGACGGGC